UGGCAUGCAGGGCAAACUGUCUGGAUUUAUCAGUUGGCUCUAGAUUUACCGUCUUAAUUAGCCAGCUCUCCUUUGAGACCUCAGAGGCAAUAAUAGAUCAAGUGGCCGAAAAAGAUAUGUUUUUCCUGCUUCUGUGACCUUCUCGCCAGUGCUGACUUAAGAGAUGAUGAUAUAAUCAGAUGGGAGAGGAUUUUGAGUAACUGGGAAGAGAGAAAGCCCUGUUCGCAGAGAGCUCUAACUCAGGAAAAGCCAGGAGAAGAUGCUUCUAAAAUGGGGAAACCACUGGAGAUGUCUUUGGCCACACCGCUCUCUAUUCUGCCAGUAAAGACAUCUGUCUCCACUUCUGCCCUCUCCAGAAAUGUCUUGGCUCAAGAGAUCUUCAUAGUAAAUCAAACCAGGAAAAAUAUUGUCAGACAGACAUAACAGAGAAGGAAAGGACAACCACAGAGGUGUUUUGAAUUUGCCACAAAUUCAAAGCCAUAAAUGAGAAAGCAACUAAGGGAUAUACUCUAACAAAAUUAGAUAGAAAUUCAAGAAAAUGAAAGAUGAAGAUUCAGAAAAGUGGGAAAAGGGGGUGGAGGGGCUUCCUGGAAUGGUGACAAAGGUAUGUCCCAGCUGACAGCAUGUCUUCAAACCUGGAGAUGGAGCAGAUGAAUGCAGACUUGAGUAGUGAUGUCUCCUGAAAAAGGUUUGAAAUGAUAGUUUAUCUGAUGGAUUUAAACACAUGGAAAUAAUGUUAAGAGAUAUCUGUAAGAUAUCUCUUACAGAGCUCUUGAUACUUAUGGGGAAGGUUAGCCACAGUUCAAAGUGGAAAAGAAAAAAACUUAAGCAAAUGAAAAAUAAUGAGGCAAGCUUUGACUCCAGGAAAAACAAAAAGAUGUACAAGAAAGAAAAUAUAACAUUCCCUGAUUAAGAAGUUAGCACUAUUUACGUCAAGAUAAUAAUAAAAACACCUGUGACACACACUAUUGAUUCUCUUGCUAGUGCCUACAUUCCUUUCUUCCUCAUAUCCAAACCUCAAUUUUGUUCAAGCAACAAUGUGCUUAUCUAGAAGUACUUGUAAUUCUAGAUUGCCUCACAGUUGAAGGUUUGCGACAUGCCUGCUGAUGAGAAAGGUUCCUAGGAAACUUUUUCUUCUUUCUCCCCUAGCUUCCUUCUUCCUUCCUUCUUCUCCUUCCCUGAAACAUGGGUGCAACAUCAGAGGGGCAGCAGCUGUCUUGUGACCAUGAGGACCAAAGUGCAAGCCUAAAAUGGGAGAGUAGAGAAAUAAAAAGAGCCUAGGCCCCUAAAGAAAUCAUAAAACGGUCACAUCAGCUUUUGACUGCCUGAAUGUUAGUGUUAGGUGUGCUUUCUAUUUCUUUCAGCCAGGUGCUUUCCUAGCUAAUAUAAUACUGGAUAUGGACAAAUCUACAAACUGUGAUAUAACUACAUCAGAAGAAUGAGAGCAGGGUAAGAUGGGUAUGAAAGAAACCCUUUGCUAGCAUUUUAAGGAGCUAAUAUUAUCGAUCAGCUGAAGUCUGUUUAUGUCCGUUAAUUUUAGCAUAUUUCUUACAUAUAAGAAACAGCCAAAAAAGCUGAAAAAUGUUGCGUUUAGAAUAUUGGAUGGGGUGGGGGAUAAGGAACUGACAUAUUUGUAAUCUCCUUUUAGAAUUAAAAAAAAAAUUGAACUGUGCCCAUGUUCAACUUUUUGAUUAAAACAUUAAAAUUAAUUGAAAGGUAAAACAAAAAGCUUUAUCUGUCUUCUACUGUAGAUUUUUACUUUGUCUUCUAUGAAUAUGCUUGCUUCCAUUUUCCAUAUUUUUCCCUUUUUAAUAUUCCAGGCAUGUCUUUUCCCCAUGCUUUUAUCUUAGUCUAUUUGGAUCAUUUUAUUUUAGGUGUGUAAAUUGUAGACAGUACAUACUCAGCUUUGGGGUUUUGACCCCAUUGGUCUUGUCUUUUAAUAGAAAAGCUUGAUCCAUUUGCUUUUAUUGAUACACCUCCUACGUUUGAUCUUUGUUCUGUCAUCUUUUUCUAUGCUUUCCACCUUUUCAUGUUUUCUUUGCUUUCUGGCUUGAUAAAUGGAUUUAGCGUUUUGAGAGAUGUAUUUCGUUUUAAGCUCUACUGAUUUUUAUCUUUAAGGUUUUUCAAAAAUACAUUUCAAAGGCAUUUAUUAAACCAUGUUUCCUUAACAGUCUGAACCAGGACUGAAACCUUAAUUCCUUCAGUUACUUUGUUUGAAACAGUACAUAGAACUUUCCUGCCUCCUAUUCUGCUUUUCUCUUCUUUUUCUUUUCUUCUCCCUUAUGAUCUACUUUCAUUUUCUUUUCACAACAUGUUUGAGAUUUUUACAUUCUGUUGACUCAUUCAUAUUUUUAUUCAUGUAGCAAAUCAUGCUCCAUAUAUUGUACUAGAUAAUAAACUUAGCGAUAGAAUACAAUUCUUGCCCCCCAGGCACUUGAAGGUGACUAGGGAAGCGAUGGUAGUCCAGGAAAGCAGAAGAGCAGAGGUGUGCCCAGGUCAUAGGGGAGAAACUAGGAGAGGCUUGCAACCUGGACCAGCUUCUCAGGGAAGACUUCCUGGUGGAGGGAGCACGUGAACUGAAUCUUUCUAGCAGAAGGAACAGCAUAUGGAAAGACAGGGAAGUAAGAAGAUGCCUUGAAUAUAAACAGCUCAGGGUUGCACAAAAAUGGUGGCUGGUGAGAAAGGAAAGGGCCAGGGGUAGAGCGAAAGGUCCGCUCACAAGGUCAUAAAUGGCCUUGAAUGUCCCUCUCAAGAAGGAUACUACUGAAGAAUCCUAAGCAGGAUGUAAUAGGACAGGAUGAAGGUAGGAACAGGGAUGGAAGGUGGCAGGCCCUUUUUGAAGACAUUUAUAAUGAAGGUGAUUAAAAUAAAGAGCAAGUGAUGGAACAGGAGAUAAGAAUGUAUUCAAGAGACCUCAAGUCUGUGACAUCGGAGGGACAACAAGGAGGUCACCUCUCCACGUGCUACUCCAAACUCUCUGGUCCAAUUUUUCUCCAGCUCCAGGCAAAUCUCCAUUGGAGAUGGUGUAAGACUUUCCAGUUUCCACCAUGAAGAAUAUCAGCUUUGAGGUCGCAUUGGUCACGGUCCAAUGGUAUGAACGCGUUGUCUUCUGAGGAGUAGGAGAUUCAGGCAGAAAAUGGGAGAAGAGAGGUCACUUCAAGACCAAUUUAAUGAGACCAAUGAGGUUACAGAGAAACUAGGCUGGGGACUGGAGAUCCUCUUGGCUGAAAGGCGACAAGAAGAGGCCUGCUGUCUGGGGUGUGGAGGACAGAAGGCUGUGCCACUGGGGGAUCCAGUGACCCUCACCAUUUCAUGUGGCGAAGACGUGUGUUUCCCGAGCAGGAGUGCAGUAGGAAGCUCCAGACAGCUCGAAGACUGGGGCCCUGGAAAUAAGAUGGGAUGGGUAGACAGUCUGGAGUGGGUCCUGGGAGGAGGAGAUGGAAAACGUCACAAGUAGGAGAUGAGGCCAAGCUAAGGUACAGGGGGCAGGGCCACCUAGGGCUCUCUGAAACACCAACAGGACAUCCUCCACGAAAUAACCAACAGUGUUUUGGAAACUCGACACCCAGCAGAACCAAGAGCUACUGGCUACUUAGUGUUAGAGAGCAAACAGCAGCCAACAGAAAGAAUGAACUUAACCUCUGGACAGCCAGGGAGAAGAUGUUCCGCCCCUACCUCCCAGGGCCCUAGCAUCGGUUUGGUAUGUACCAUCUACCCUGUUCUAAGCCACUAGCAUCCAGUCUGGCCCCUAGAGCUGGGGGGAAGAACUAGGAGGUGGGCAAG